rnacentral:lncRNA from 10 species
GAGUAAGGGAGAGAUGGGAUUUGAGCCAAGGUCUGCCUCUAGGUAUAAACCAAUAAGUAUCUGAGGCAAGUCUCAAUCCAUUUAUUAGGUUGGUGCAAAAGUAAUUGCAGUUUUUGCCAUUAUAAGUAAUGGAAAGUUUACUUUGCCAAGGUUAAGGACACACCUGUGACACAGACUCAGGAGUUCCUGAAGACGCGUGCCCAAGAUGGGUGCCCUGGCAAAGGAAGGAGACCAUUCAUAUGGUGAGGAGGGCCUUCAACUUUUAUUUUUGGUUUACAUUCGCAAAGCAUGUGCUCUUUGCUUUAUACUAGGCUGCCUCCCUGCCAUGUUAGAAAGAUCUUCUGAAUUUAUAUGAGGUCAUGGUUUAGGUGGGAUUAGUCAGUUGUAUUUUCUCAUCAAUACAUGUAUUUUUAUUUUUAUUUUUUUUGAGAUGGAGUUUCAGUCUUGUUGCCCAGGCUGGUGUGCCAUGGUGCGAUCUUGGCUCACUGCAGCCUCCGCCUCCUGGGUUCAAACGAUUCUCCUGCCCCAGCCUCCUGAGUAGUUGGGAUUAUAGGCGCCUGCCAUCAUGUCUGGCUAAUUUUGUUUUUAAAUUAUUUUUAGUAGAAACACGGUUUCGCCAUAUUGGCCAGGCUGGUCUUGAACUCCUGACCUCAGGUGAUCUGCCCAUCUUGGCCUCCCAAAGUGCUGGGAUUACAAGUGUGAGCCGCUGUGCCUGGCCAAUACAUGUAUUUUCCAUUCAAUACAUAUGGGGGUUCAUUCUCUCACCCCUUAUCAGAACAGAGGUCAGGGAGGAGGGGAAUGGACCUGCAGGGUGAUGGAUUAGUAUGGGGAUUGCAAACUCCAUUCCCUACAGGGCAGUUAGGGUAAAAGGGGAAGUAAAAUUAGAGCAGGCGCAUACUGUCAACAGGGGCAGGAAUGUAGGAAUGUGGCCCACUGUUUUCAGAUAUCCCAAUUUGUUUAGGGGAGCCCAAAAUCUGGAUUUUAUCUUUCUUUGCAAAAUUGUUAAUUUUUUAUGUUGGGAACUAACUAGAAACUUUUUUUUUUUUUUUUGAGAUGGAGUUUCACUCUUGUCACCCAAGCUGGAGUGCAAUGGUGCGAUCUUGGCUCACUGCAACCUCCGCCUCCCAGGUUCAAGUGAUUCUUGUGCCUCAGCCUCCCAAGUAUCUGAGAUUACAGGCCUGAGCAACCAUGCCCAGCUAAUUUUUGUAUUUUUAGUAGAGACUGGGUUUUGCCAUGUCAGGCAGGCUGGUCUCAAACUCCUGACCUUAGGUGAUCCACCCACCUCGGCCUCUCAAAGUGCUGGGAUUACAGGUGGGAGCCACCAUGCCUGGCCCUAACUAAAAACAUUUUUAAACACUGUGCAGACUAAAUAAAUCUGUGGAGUCCAUAGGGUCCAGUUUUAGACCCCUGGCUGAGCUCUCCAAUGACAGAGUUUGUCUUCAGGGAAGCUUACCCUCAGUGGUGCUGAUUCUAUGGAAAGUCAAUCCUCAAGCUAAGAGGAAAUCCCUCCGGGCUGCAGCUAGGAAAAGGAGCAGGCCUUGGAUGGGGCACUUCUCUUUCCAUCUUCCUUCCCCAGCUAGUCUCACUGGGCCCAUCAGUCAACUUUCCAUGAUGAAUGUUUUGUUGGGUUCUGUUCCAUGGAGUUAAAGGAGCAUGGAGUGUCUCUCAUCACAGCCCCUUUUCUAGGAAAAUAAAUGGCCAACUCCCUGGAGUUGAGGAUUUUUUUAUGCAAUGACUUUCCUCCACGAGAUUUAUUGCAGCAGCUUUGUGAGAGAUUUGUAGUAAGUAGUGUUGAGGCUGUAGGUCUUAAAUCUUCAAUGCCACAGUCAUAACUCUCCAGGAAGGAAAUGAUAGAAGAUCACAGUAGCUAAUAUUGCAUUAUGAUGAUACUGCCUUCCCAGAAAUGAUUGCAGUCUUGCUGCUGCUGUCUUACUUAGGAAACAGGAGCUCUUCAAAUGUGCUUGAGAUGUCUGUCCUGGUGGUGCUUUGCACGAUCCAUGAGAAGCUACAGCCUUAGAACUAAACCUUUACAUUAUCAAGCUUCUCAUCAUUGACUUCUCUUUUGCUCUGUUGCUGGAUUAUGGUAAGACUUGUUUUGUGGAAAGGCUGAAAAAUUAUAGUAGAAAUUCUAGUAUAUGAAGAAGCCUUUGUGUAGGCUGACAUGAGUCACCUCAUCUGAGCCAGGAAAGCUUUUCAGAAGAUAAAACAUUUCAUCAGGUCCUGAAG